rnacentral:rRNA from 1 species
GACGAACGCUGGCGGCAUGCCUAACACAUGCAAGUCGAACGAGACCUUCGGGCCUAGGGGGGCACGGGGGCGGAACGCGGGGGAAGCUGCCCGUGGGUUAGGAAUAACUCACCGUGAGGUGAGUUAAUGCCAGUGAAGGUAAUAGGGGCAAGGAUUUCUCGCUUUUGGAUGGGGCCGGGUUGGAUUAGGUAGUUGGUAGGGUAAAAGCCGACCAAGGCGACGAUCCAUAGCUGGUGUGGUAGGAUGCUUCGGCACACUGGGACUGAGGCCCGGCCCAGUCGCCUACGGGGGGCAGCAGUGGGGUAUAUUGUGCGCUGGGCCCAAGCCUGAUCCCGCAAUGCCGCGUGAGUGAUGAAGCCCUUAGGGUUGUACAGCUGUUUUACCCGAGAUGAUAAUGACGGUACCGGGAGAAUAAGCUCCGGCUAACUCCGUG